rnacentral:tRNA from 1 species
AAAAAGGUAAGCUAACGAUUUAAGCUAGUGGGUUCAUACCCCAUUUAUAGGAAUAUCCUCCUUUUUA